GAUGAACGCUGGCGGUGUGCCUAAUACAUGCAAGUCGAGCGAACAGACGAGGAGCUUACUCCUCUGAGGUUAGCGGCGGACGGGUGAGUAACACGUGGAUAACCUACCUAUAAGACUGGGAUAACUUCGGGAAACCGGAGCUAAUACCGGAUAACAUGUUGAACCGCAUGGUUCAACAGUGAAAGACGGUCUUGCUGUCACUUAUAGAUGGAUCCGCGUCGCAUUAGCUAGUUGGUAAGGUAACGGCUUACCAAGGCAACGAUGCGUAGCCGACCUGAGAGGGGGAUCGGCCACACUGGAACUGAGACACGGUCCAGACUCCUACGGGAGGCAGCAGUAGGGAAUCUUCCGCAAUGGGCGAAAGCCUGACGGAGCAACGCCGCGUGAGUGAAGAAGGUCUUCGGAUCGUAAAACUCUGUUAUUAGGGAAGAACAAAUGUGUAAGUAACUAUGCACGUCUUGACGGUACCUAAUCAGAAAGCCACGGCUAACUACGUG
rnacentral:rRNA from 1 species